rnacentral:rRNA from 1 species
AACACAUGCAAGUCGAGCGAGAGUCGAUCGAGGGGUAACCCUCGAUCGAGGAGAGCGGCGAACGGGUGAGUAACACGUGGGUAACCUGCCCCAGGCACUGGGAUAACACCGGGAAACCGGUGCUAAUACCGGAUACUCUCGGCGGAUCGCAUGACCUGCCGAGGAAAGCUCCGACGGUCUGGGAUGGGCCCGCGGCCUAUCAGCUUGUUGGUGGGGUAACGGCCUACCAAGGCUUCGACGGGUAGCUGGCGUGAGAGCGUGGCCAGCCACACUGGGACUGAGACACGGCCCAGACUCCUACGGGAGGCAGCAGUGGGGAAUAUUGCGCUAAUGCGCGAAAGCGUGACGCAGCGACACCGCGUGGGGGAUGAAUGCCUUCGGGUUGUAAACCCCUUUCGACAGGGAAGAAGCUAACGUGACGGUACCUGUAGAAGAAGUCCCGGCUAACUACGUGCCAGCAGCCGCGGUAAGACGUAGGGGACGAGCGUUGUCCGGAUUUAUUGGGCGUAAAGCGCGCGCAGGCGGUUGCACAAGUCGGGUGUGAAAAUCCGGGGCUCAACCCCGGACCUGCACCCGAUACUGUGCGACUAGAGGUAGGUAGGGGAGAUCGGAAUUCCUGGUGUAGCGGUGAAAUGCGCAGAUAUCAGGAGGAACACCGGUGGCGAAGGCGGAUCUCUGGGCCUUACCUGACGCUCAGGCGCGAAAGCUAGGGGAGCGAACAGGAUUAGAUACCCUGGUAGUCCUAGCCGUAAACGUUGGAUUCUAGGUGUGGGGGGAUAUCGACCCCUUCCGUGCCGAAGCUAACGCAUUAAGCAUCCCGCCUGG